UUCCGAAAGGAAUGCUAAUACCGCAUACGCCCUACGGGGGAAAGCAGGGGAUCGUAAGACCUUGCGCUAAUAGAUGAGCCUAAGUCGGAUUAGCUAGUUGGUGGGGUAAAGGCCUACCAAGGCGACGAUCUGUAGCGGGUCUGAGAGGAUGAUCCGCCACACUGGGACUGAGACACGGCCCAGACUCCUACGGGAGGCAGCAGUGGGGAAUAUUGGACAAUGGGGGGAACCCUGAUCCAGCCAUGCCGCGUGUGUGAAGAAGGCCUUUUGGUUGUAAAGCACUUUAAGCGGGGAGGAGGCUCUUCUGGUUAAUACCCAGGAUGAGUGGACGUUACCCGCAGAAUAAGCACCGGCUAACUCUGUGCCAGCAGCCGCGGUAAUACAGAGGGUGCGAGCGUUAAUCGGAUUUACUGGGCGUAAAGCGUGCGUAGGCGGCUUACUAAGUCGGAUGUGAAAUCCCCGAGCUUAACUUGGGAAUUGCAUUCGAUACUGGUGAGCUAGAGUAUGGGAGAGGAUGGUAGAAUUCCAGGUGUAGCGGUGAAAUGCGUAGAGAUCUGGAGGAAUACCGAUGGCGAAGGCAGCCAUCUGGCCUAAUACUGACGCUGAGGUACGAAAGCAUGGGGAGCAAACAGGAUUAGAUACCCUGGUAGUCCAUGCCGUAAACGAUGUCUACUAGCCGUUGGGGCCUUUGAGGCCUUAGUGGCGCAGCUAACGCGAUAAGUAGACCGCCUGGGGAGUACGGUCGCAAGACUAAAACUCAAAUGAAUUGACGGGGGCCCGCACAAGCGGUGGAGCAUGUGGUUUAAUUCGAUGCAACGCGAAGAACCUUACCUGGCCUUGACAUACUAGAAACUUUCCAGAGAUGGAUUGGUGCCUUCGGGAAUCUAGAUACAGGUGCUGCAUGGCUGUCGUCAGCUCGUGUCGUGAGAUGUUGGGUUAAGUCCCGCAACGAGCGCAACCCUUUUCCUUACUUGCCAGCAUUUCGGAUGGGAACUUUAAGGAUACUGCCAGUGACAAACUGGAGGAAGGCGGGGACGACGUCAAGUCAUCAUGGCCCUUACGGCCAGGGCUACACACGUGCUACAAUGGUCGGUACAAAGGGUUGCUACCCAGCGAUAGGAUGCUAAUCUCAAAAAGCCGAUCGUAGUCCGGAUUGGAGUCUGCAACUUCGACUCCAUGAAGUUCGGAAUCGCUAGUAAUCGCGG
rnacentral:rRNA from 1 species